GGAUGUGACGGCGAUCUGGCUGCGACAUCUGUCACCCCAUUGAUCUUCAGGGUUGAUUCAGCUGAUCUGGCUGGCUAGGCGGGGUCCCCUUCCUCCCUCACGGCUCCAUGUGCGUCCCUCCCGAAGCUGCGCGAUCGGUCGAAGAGAACGACCAUCCCCGAUAGAGGAGGACCGUUCGGUCAAGGGUAUACGAGUAGCUGCGCUCCCCUGCUCGAACCUCCAAACAAGCUCUCAAGAGUACUUCAAAGAUAUUUAUGACUUAGAUAAAUGCUUUCUUUAAACCUUGAAUGGCAUUAGAAAAGUGUGUAGCAUUUG
rnacentral:snRNA from 1 species